AUUGAGAUGAGUUUUCUUUUUUCUUUAUCAGAAUGAUCGGCAAUUACAGAUGAGUUAGAGUCAGAUACCGGCGGACAUGAAUUCAUCAAAUCCACAUGGUACAGGUAGAUAAUGUGAAUUUGCAGUUGAUGCAGGUUAACUACUCUGGUACACAGUACAGUUGAUGCAGUUGUAUGCGGGUGUAUCAAUUAAACACAAUAUUUUCUAAAGGAAGUAAAUAAUGGCUUAAUGUCGUCAAACCCAGCAUAGUGUCAAGCCAGCGUAACAGCAAAGGACGGAUUUGGCGUAGGCCUAUUAGUGGUCAGAUUCGGUAGUGCAGACCAGUAAUCGUCGAGUGAGCGAGAGAAACACAUUAAUGAUAUCAAGAAGUUGAAAUGGGUUGCUAAGGGAAAAGCAGGACAUCACUAUCGAGAAUAUCAAGAAAAAGCUUCAAGCAAGGCCGGCAACAAAGUUAGUUCAUGACCUGCGUAAGAAAGUCAAAAUUUUGCAGGUAAUCAAUGAUGAGCUUCUUCCAACCCCUGCUAUUGCAACUAACUCGACUUGUUCCACUAUUAGACCUUAAUUGCUCGAAAACAAGUUCUUACACUUAAAUUUUAACCCGACAGUCACACUUAUUUUUUUUGUUACAUUUUUGCCAGAAAUUACUAUGAUUUUAAUUUUAGUCAUUUUCAGACCUAGAAUAAUAUUCUUAUUUGAUUGCUUCCAACUGCUUUUUGUAAAGUCUAUAUAAUUAUAUUAUAACUAAAUAUCUUUUUAUAAUUAAUUGAAGAAUAAGCAUGCCAAAACAUUCAAUUAGCUUUGAGUUAUUUGACACGGAUUGUGAUUGUGAAGUACUUGGUAUGCUAUAAUGUAUUCUGUGCACUUCUUUAUUCAUGUUAAACUUUCUGAGCAAUCAACUUUGCUGGAAACGAAUGCGAUAUUGCAUACCAAGUAGUUUUGUGAGUCGUUGGUGAAAAACAGAGUGUUGAAGCUUGUUUAGAAACUAAUUGGAACCUAAGAAAUAGGUUUGGAUUGUGUGACGCAUACAGUUUGAUCAGCAGUAUCGGUAUGUCUCUCGGGUAGAGAGUUAGAAGCCCGGGAUACAACCAGGAGUAGUAGUGAACCAAGUUCAGCCAGGUAUCCGUCGAUAAUCAAGGUGUGAAAAAAAACCCAAGGUGAUUCCAGCAAGUGAGUUAAUGCCGUACUAAUAUGUGAAGCGAGGACAAACAGUCAAGCAAGAUUAACUAUGCUCGAAAUUGUUGCAGAUGUUCAAACUGAACCAGUUUAAGGGGCAACGCAGAAUACGUUCUUUCUAGUUUGGGUUUAAGGAAGGCUGUUGGAGUUGUAGAUUAAACCCAACCUAGAAGUGUUUCUAACUUCUAUAGUUAAAUGUCAUGUUUAAAUUUUGUAGUUCCAAUCCAUAAGGCCGCAUCGAAGAACUCCUACAAGUGCUCCACGUAUGGAUCAUCAGUCGGCUAAUUCUGACGACUUAAUGAUGCAUAUUCCUACUGGUCUUCCAAGGAGUGUGGGACAUUCCUCCACUUUCAACUUGCAAGGCGACCUUCCUAAAGUCGUAGUGAGAGCUUGAGCCAAGGCUCUAUUGUGACGAGCAUGGGUUUUAAUCCACAGGAGAGGCUGGCAUAUAAGCAUAUAAGAAUUUUGAGGAUACCUUGUAACAUUUUUUCCAAGCGUUUCAAAGAUGUCUAAACAUUUGGUGUAUGUAGUACCUAAGUAAAUAUCUUGAGACCCUCUUAUAGAGGUAUCCGGUUUAUAUUAUUUGACCCUAUUAAACAAGUACCCAUUAUAUUUAUAGUACCAUGAUACAAGAUGCCCAUUUUAAUUGA